rfam:Bacteroidetes bacterium RIFCSPLOWO2_12_FTLL_35_15 rifcsplowo2_12_scaffold_3362, whole genome shotgun sequence.
GCCCAGGUGGUGGAAUUGGUAGACACGCAGGACUUAAAAUCCUGUGUCCAUUGCGGACGUAUCGGUUCAAGUCCGAUCCCGGGUA